AUGCCUGUGUGGAAGGGGGCAGCCUCUAUUUGGCGGGGCUUCUUCUCGGGGUGCAAGGGCAGCUUCCUCCGGCUUCGGACGUUCCUGCCCGUCUGGCUACGGCCUCGGACCCGCGGCGGCUGCCCCCCCCCCCCGCCCCCGCACACACACGGACACGUGCGUGCACACAGCGAGGUACCGGCGGCGGCCCCCGCAGAAAUGACGCGGUGGGCGCGCUCGCUUCCGCUGGGGCUUCUCCCCGAGCCGGGCCUUUGGGUAGGUGAGAGGGGGCGGGCGGGGGGUAAGGGGGACGGGGAGAAGGUGAGGCUCCGGGGCGGGGAAAGCCGUCAGCCCCGGCCUCUGUGGGGUCCCGGAGAGCUGGCGAUGCAGCGCCCAGCCGCCAGGGGCAGGAAAGCGGGCGCCCGCCAGAGGUCAGUCCGUUCCGGCAAGUGCGUGGGUGGGGGAGAAGCUGGGGGGAGGGGGGCUGGAAAGACUAAGGCCGGAAGGAGUAGGGGGCGGAAGGCUCGGCGAGGCGGGGCGGCGCGGGGAGCGGCACCCUCCGCUCGGCCCUGGACGCGCCCCGGGUCCGCGGUGGGAUCCUGUCCGGAAAGAGCCGGAAUCCAGGCCGGCUCUUGGCGUCUGCCCGGUGGGCUGGCGGCGGCCCAGGGAGUGUGUGGAAAUGACACCGCCAGGGCGGCGGAGACCCCCCACCUCCCCCAGCCUGACAUUGGCUGGAAAGUGGAGCAGCUCGUCAGGGACAAUCAAUGGCGAUCGAUCGCGGCCGCGGCGGCUCAGACAGGCUGGGGGCGGGGGGGAGCGGGAGGAGGUGGGAAGGGGCCGGGGGCGGGGAAAAAGCCCAUCACACAACUGCACAACAACCCGCCCGGGCCGUGCCGACGCCGUGACACACAUACGCCCUGGCUACGGAGCUCGGCGACUGCACAACUUAGUGACACCCGGGCACACAACUUCGCAGCGGGGACGCACACGCUCGCGGCCCCCUCCCGCCUUCCGGCGCCUCCGAGCCGCUGA
rnacentral:lncRNA from 1 species